rnacentral:rRNA from 1 species
UACAGAGGUCUCAAGCGUUGUUCGGAUUCAUUGGGCGUAAAGGGUGCGUAGGCGGCGCGGUAAGUCGGGUGUGAAAUCUUGGAGCUUAACUCCGAAACUGCAUUCGAUACUGCCGUGCUUGAGGACUGGAGAGGAGACUGGAAUUUACGGUGUAGCGGUGAAAUGCGUAGAUAUCGUAAGGAAGACCAGUGGCGAAGGCGGGUCUCUG